GAUGAACGCUGGCGGCGUGCCUAAUACAUGCAAGUCGAGCGAACGGACGAGAAGCUUGCUUCUCUGAUGUUAGCGGCGGACGGGUGAGUAACACGUGGAUAACCUACCUAUAAGACUGGGAUAACUUCGGGAAACCGGAGCUAAUACCGGAUAAUAUUUUGAACCGCAUGGUUCAAAAGUGAAAGACGGUCUUGCUGUCACUUAUAGAUGGAUCCGCGCUGCAUUAGCUAGUUGGUAAGGUAACGGCUUACCAAGGCAACGAUGCAUAGCCGACCUGAGAGGGUGAUUGGCCACACUGGAACUGAGACACGGUCCAGACUCCUACGGGAGGCAGCAGUAGGGAAUCUUCCGCAAUGGGCGAAAGCCUGACGGAGCAACGCCGCGUGAGUGAUGAAGGUCUUCGGAUCGUAAAACUCUGUUAUUAGGGAAGAACAUAUGUGUAAGUAACUGUGAACAUCUUGACGGUACCUAAUCAGAAAGCCACGGCUAACUACGUG
rnacentral:rRNA from 1 species